rnacentral:rRNA from 1 species
AGUGAACGCUGGCGGCAGGCCUAACACAUGCAAGUCGAACGGCAGCACAGUAAGAGCUUGCUCUUACGGGUGGCGAGUGGCGGACGGGUGAGGAAUACAUCGGAAUCUACUUUUUCGUGGGGGAUAACGUAGGGAAACUUACGCUAAUACCGCAUACGACCUACGGGUGAAAGCAGGGGAUCUUCGGACCUUGCGCGAUUGAAUGAGCCGAUGUCGGAUUAGCUAGUUGGCGGGGUAAAGGCCCACCAAGGCGACGAUCCGUAGCUGGUCUGAGAGGAUGAUCAGCCACACUGGAACUGAGACACGGUCCAGACUCCUACGGGAGGCAGCAGUGGGGAAUAUUGGACAAUGGGCGCAAGCCUGAUCCAGCCAUACCGCGUGGGUGAAGAAGGCCUUCGGGUUGUAAAGCCCUUUUGUUGGGAAAGAAAAGCAGCAGGUUAAUACCCCGCUGUUCUGACGGAACCCAAAGAAUAAGCACCGGCUAACUUCGUG